CAAUGUUCUCCUUGGACUGAGCUUGGACCUUAGCAGAACGCGGCUGCUGUUUGUCGCGUCAUUCUGUGAACGCGGGUCUCUCAAUGAUCUUUUUGAUUACAAAAUCGUUUGGAUAUGGACCUUCAAAAUUCGCUGGCUGUGGAUCUUAUUCGUGCAAUACAUUUCAUCCAUACCAAGACAUCGCUUCGUUACCACGGUCAUCUAUCGCGAUGGGUGUGUCUUAUUGAUCGUCAUUUUACCUUGAAGACUGGAAAAUUUGGAUACGUGGCAUUGUCGCAGAGUUUGUGAGGUCGUGCGAUAGAAAAGCCGCAUGACAACGCUAAGAAACUGCUCUGGACGGAGCCAGAACUGUUACGAGACGCCAAAGGUCAUCCAGACAAAGCCGCAGAUAUUUACAGCACCGGCAUUAUUUUGUAUGAGAUUUUCACUUUGCGAUAUCCAUACGACAAUUCACCACAAGCUUCUGGCAAUCUGGAAAACAAUGGAUAAGCCGAGUUUGCUGGUCAUUUGAUUGAGGAGGUUAGAAGAAUCGGGGCGCAGUGUUGGCUGCUCAUUCCAAGAUGUAUCCAGAAUUUGCAUAACCGUACUCAGCUGCCUAGUG